GACAACGGGGGGUGCCUGCGGGGGAGCGCAGCCAGCAGCACCGAGCUGGCGUUUGCGGUUUGGUUUUGGAUUUUUUUUCCUUGAAAAAAGCAUUGCUGUAUGGGCGGGAAAGGUUUGUGGGGUUUUUGUUGUUUGGUUUUUGGGGUUUUGGUUUUGAUUUGGGUUUGUUUUUUUUUUUGAGAAAAGCUCGGCUGUUAAGUGGCUGUGAUGGACGGUGUUGCCGAACGCCCUGGGGGCAGCCGUGCUGGCGGGCGGCGCAGGUGUGCUGGCGGCCGUUGGCCGGGUCUGCUGUGGGCCCGGAGAGAAGAGGGAGAGGAGCUGUACCUCAGUAUUCUGCCUACCUCACCCCGAGGGUGCAGUGAUGGGGCAAACUGAAGUGAGGUUCACCAUCAGAGUCGCGGUAGGAAACUAGUUGGGGAGAGGGCACUGCAGGGGGGCUCCUCUGCCCGUGCUGUCCUGAGUUGCAUCACCAAGGUGUGGCUACAGGUGCAAAAAUCCACCAUCCCCACAGCCGACGAUCAUUGCUGGAGCUGUUCAUCUUCUCCUGGUUGUGUCUGCUCCCCCCCCCACCCACCCCCCACGGCUGCAUCUUCCUGAAGGCUUCCCCAAGGGGUCAGUUCCCACAGACCCUUUGCCACUGUGUCUGUUUGUAGGAGUCCCUCCCAAGUGCAAAGCAGUUUUUCCUGGGAUAGCCACGGCUGCUUUUCAGGCACCCUUCGUUGGACCCUCUGCUCUGAGGAGGUGGUGGCCCCCCUGGAGCUCCCGGGGAAGGAUAAAUACCGCUAAAGGGUGUUUUCCUGCUAGUGUGUUGGCCGGUACACAGCUUUGCCUGCAUUUGCAUUUGUCCUGCUUCUUCUGCCAAGGCUGAAGUGACGGCCAUCAAGAUGUUCUCUCUGAUGGUGUUGCCUGCUGAACACCAGCUGCUGAUGCUGACAUUUAAUAUCUGUAUGUGAGAAAAAAGAGGAUUCCCUCAGCCCUGACGUGGCAGCAGCAAAGGCAUCCCUUUGCACGGCAUGGGCAGCAACAGAAGCUUUCUCAUUUUGGUAGUUGGGAUUGAAGCACUAGUGAUGAGGGACAGUGAGACACUCUCAGGGUGGGUAACACCUCUCCCUGGAGUCCCAGGAAGAGUCUUCCUAGCAGCGCUACUUAGGCUCGACCCUCAGUUCAAAGAUUGUACUUAUCUGUGAGGAGGAACUUCUUUUUACUGAAAACUGAGGCUUUGACAAUGUAACUUUCCUUGAAUUUGGCUCCAGACAGGUCUCCUGUGUCACAUUCCUGCAAGCACACUGAUGAGACAGACUGCUUCUGAAGAGGGUGCAUUACCUAAAGCCACUGAAACAAUAAACCUCACUUGCAAAUUAAGGCUAUUUUCCUUAUGAAAGGUUUGAAAGGUAUGCAGGAUCCCUACAUACUGGGAUAUUGUUGUUGAAAGAGCGUGUCAUAAUUUUAAUUAGAAACCAGUAGUUUGAAAGGUUUAGAAGUAAAUACCCAAGAUCAGGCUGAAACCUGGCAUAUAAUUUAUAACACCAUUGUGUAAUUCUCAUUGUGCUGAAAAAUUCUUCUUGGGUGAGGAAAGGGGAGGUAAGUUCUCAGUGCAUAUGUAUGAAGUCCUAUAGUUCAUAAUUACAGAAUGCACCAGGAUGCCUAUAGCUUGCCAGCGUAAUUUGUAGCUAGCAUCUGUGACCCAGUGCUGUCCCAGUGGUCAGUAUCUAUUAGUUUUAAAGCCCCUUUGUAGUGGUUCUAGCAAAUUAUGGAACAGUAAAAGGGGGAGCAUAAUGCCCCACUCCAAUAAACAGAUGAUGUGUUGAGUAUGUGAUUUAAUUACCUUUAUUGAUCUUCUCAUAGAGCAUAGCCACCUCAUAAAUACUGGGGUAAAUCCCACUGUUUUACUCAGGCAAAUGUUCUUGUUUCAGUCUCACUGAAGAGUGUUGGCUUGGCUAUCGUGGGGAGGAUUUGGCUCACUAUCAGUGAUGAUAAAAUUAUCCAGCCAUGGUAUUUAACUUCAUGACCUAUUACAGCAAUGGACUCUAUAGUCAGGACAUGUGCUACAUAAAAGUAUUCUUUUUAAUUUGCUCUAAAUUUAUUGCUGCCUCAUUUUAUUAUUGUUCUCUCUUUCUAGGGUAAGAAGUCAGAAGGAGAGCUGAAUGACUUUUCAUGCUAACCUUCUUUAACUAAAGUGCCUCAGCCAAAAUACCUUAAGCAAUGUCUUUCUGUUUUCAUCUCUUAGUUUAGUGGCCCUCAUCUUGCUGUCACACCUGCAUGAGUCAGGCCUUUUAUGUGAAGCAUAUGGGACAGGCUUCUGCACAGAUGCUGAACUGCAGGAUUAUGUCCUAACUCAUCUUUAUAAUUACUCUGGUCUGUAUAAGUGCAUUAAAAAAUACUGUGUUUAAAAAAAUAGAUUUCUUAAAUAUACAUGUCCUUGUUAGGUGAGCCUCAAUUUAUUAGGUAGUAAAUGUGAAAGCAAGUACACAGUAAAAUUCAGUAUUGAAACAAAAAUAAAAAUAACAGGAAUGCAUUUACAAGUGAAGUACAAGCCUGAACCCAGCUCUGUAAACUAUGUACCAGCUUAAAUAUCCAUUCUCUGAACAUCCAUGGACAUGGAUGGAGAGCCUCAGAGAACAGGUUUGGGCACACGCAUCUCCUGGAUCAGCAAGAUCACAGGAGAAAACAUGUCCUUUCUGUUACAGUACACUGUAAAAAAAGAAAACUCCCUAGAGUUUUACUUGCACUCAUAGCUGCUACAGCAGUACCAAUUAUAAAUAAUACAAGUAAAUAGUUCAAGUAUGCCUAAUUAUGUGCUUUUUGUGCCUAUUUAAUUAAUAGGACAACUCCUGAAGUAGAGGACUGCUCAGCCUGAAUAAUGGUGGCAGAAUUAUAUCCAAGUUCUAACACUGAUACAUUGAUUGGGCAUGUUUUAUGUAUAUGAAGCCAGACUCUGCAGUGCAUAGCAGUGAUGGAUACAAGCAUACCUGUGCAUUCCCCAAAAACUUCAUCAACUUUUUGCUGCAGUCUCUAGAAUACACAGAAAACGCUCGGCAAUGAGAAAUUGAAAUCUUACCCUGAAGUUAGGAAAGGAAUUUAGCUCUCAAAAGACGUUGUUUCUGGUGCUGGAUAUUAAAGCAAAUUCUUUGAGAGGAAAGAAAAUGAAACAAGUGGAGCUAGGCUAACAAUAACUAAAGCUGAGAUCUAAUAAACCUAGUUGGAUUAAAAAAAAAAAAAAAAAGUAAAAAAGUUAAUACUUUCUUCAAGUUAAGAAAGCAUGUUUAUGCUUUAGUGAGAAAUAAAUCCCUAAUUUUUACAAGGGAGACUUUAUUUGAUAGGAAUUGAACUCUUUCGUCGGAUUAGCUCAUGGUGCAAUUAUCUACUUUGGAUGCUGUAUACGUGUUACUAGAGAGUAUUUUAUUCCACAGCUUGGAAUGACAUGUAAUGCAAGUUGCUACUCUCCUUGAAUGAAGACACUGAGUUCAUUCCUUGCCUGGUAGGGCCACCAUCUGUACCCCAGAGUCUUUUUGCCUUUGGUGGUGUCCGAGCCAAUGCCUCAUCAAUGCAAGGAUUGCUGUCCCUGCCAGGGCAGGCAUCUUCCAAGGAGAGGUGGGAAUGACAGAGAGUGGUGGGAGGGAAAUAAUGAAUAUCCUUGGUGCCAGGGGCCCGUGAGCAAGUAAACAAGGAGGAGGAGUGUCCAUGGCCGAGCAGAGGUGCAGUGAGGUUAUAAGCAUCUGAGAAAGGUAGAGGCAGGGCAGAGCAGGAGAGUUCAGAGGAGCAAAGGGGCUUAGAUGGAGUUGGAGACCCAAGCCAGCUCAGAGGGACACACUGUGCUGAGCAGUUGUCCCUGUCCCUGGAGCAGUGGGGAGGUGUGAAGGCCCUGGGAUGGGAAGGAGAUCUGUCCCAGCUGGGAGGAGCAGGCAGCUCUCCUGCCUGCACCGUGCUGGGCUGUGUGACCCACCGCCCUGCUGGCAGCGAGCUGUCGCUUGCUCCGUGUCCAUGGGCAGCCUCUACCCAUAUGACAAGGAGGCCAAAAAGACAAUAACACUCACUUAAUUUGGGGCCUACAAUGAGACCUUGCUGUUUCCUCAUUUCUCAUCACUCAGCUCCUUCAACCUGCCUGGCAGCACAUCUGUUUUAAAAUAGUGUUUAAAAGGCAAAUAUCUUGCCCUUAAAGUACAGGCCUCAUAUCCCUGAUGGUUUAAUUUGACAUAAAUAAGGGGGAGUGGGGUGGGGUGUGCAAUUGAUAUUGGUUUUGUAUAAUCAGAAAUACAAAUAAUAAUCCCCUGAAGACAUUUAAUAAUUUAAAUUAUUCAGAACUCAAUUAAGGCUAUUAGGAGAUUAGAAAUUAGAUUAUAGGUGGCUAAAGGGUAAAAAUUCAAGGACUUCAAACACCUUUUGUAAUACAAAGGCUCUUAAAAAUGAACAGGCUGAGAAUUUCCCCAGGAAAUUCCUAUAAAUUUAAUUAGGUUUCUUCAUUUAAAAUAAAAAAGAAACCACUCUGUACACAAUUUGAGUCCCACUGCCUCUCUUGAACAGUGGACUCAAGUAAUUGCCUGCUGAGACCUCCCUGUUCCCUAGGUUUGCAGAAAUGUGCAAAGGCUUAAUAGAUUUUGAAGAACAGGAGCAGCCACACCAACCAUCUGACGUGUCCUCCUACAUUGACGUCUGCCAAAGAAUUUUGCCCAGCCUUUCCUGCAGGGAGGAGAAUUAUUUUUCCUCUCAUCAUAUCUCUUCAUCACACCAAAUUGUAUCCAUUUUGCAUUUCCUCCCAUAUGGAGUCAAGUGGCGGGUUCAUUUUGUCACUGAAAAGAACAGGAAUCCCUGGCAAUGUGGCAGGCUCUUGUUUUUCUGCAUCCCACGGCUGCUCCCAGCUGAGGUUCUCGGUGUAGCUUCAUGGCAAUGCGAUGCUGCCGUGGGGAAAGAGCGAUGCUGCCAUGGGGAAGGUGCGAGCCAGCAGCAGAGGGGUGGCCUAUGUGUCCCUGCAGAUGCAGAGGGCUUUUUUGGGAGUAUUAGCCACUCUGUUUGAGGUGUGGGGGGAGUUGUCAUCUCAAAAGAACAGUUUUCUGUUCCGUCAUGAAAAUAAAUACACACAGGUGGUAUUGUGUGGGCCUUCUUAUUUUCUUUUUUUAGGCACUAGUUUGAGGAGGCUGUUUGUUUGUUCAGCUACUGUGCUAGGCUAAGGCUGCAUUUAUGCUACCGCAAAACAAAUGCCCUGCUUGAAACAAUGAGAAACCCGAGGGAAGUGUACUUCUGUGCUAAAAUUCUUAGAUAAAGAUUAGGAAACAGCUACUAAUUAUUGACAUCAGGUUCCCAGUCAUUAUUAGCAUCACAAUUCUAAAAUGGCUGCCAACAAGAGUCAGAUCAGAAAUCUCAUUAGAAAGAAAUGUCACAGUUUAUUCCUGAUUAUAAACACUAUUUUAUUACCCUUGGAAGGGUUGGGUGGCUUCACUAAAUGCAAUGGGUGGCUCCCCUUGAGGUAUAUAUUUUUGCUGAUGAAUUUGUAUUAGCAAAAAAAUUAUAAAUAUCUGAUAAUUUUCCAAGCAAUUCCUGAAAAUAAAACAACAUUCUAGAAUUACUGAAGAAUGUAGUCAUGUAAAUUGCACACUGGAGUACAAAAGAAAAAGAAUAAUGAUAUGGUAAUAUAAAAAGGGCAAAACCAUAAUGAGAAGGGACAUUUGUCAGUAUACUCAGAAAAGCACAAUCUGUCUCCCUGGUAAUUUGGUGGAGUACAGAAAGUAUUACAUGCCAUAUUACAAGCAUUACAUUUUAUUUCUGACUUCAGGAAGCAUUGCCAUAUGUCUUCCAAGUCAGACAUGGCCUCUUAAAUGUAGCAUGUUCUUUGUUCGUGCUGUAGGGGCUCUAUCCCGCCUGGACGGGAUUUAUUCUGAAUAAAUUAAAGAGACUAUAAAUUUUCCAGUGCCAUGAGACUUCAUAUCAGACAGCUUUUGUGGAUGAAGUGGGCAGGAGCAAUUUGGCUUCUAAUGGCCAGGGAAACUUGGCAGGUUUGCUUUAUUUCUCAGACAUGACAACUUUCUCUAAAAGCUAUUGUUAUGGAAAUAGUCCCAAAUUUCCUGGCCUUAAGAAGCGUUUACUACUUUCAAAUACAUUUCAUGGGAAAUGGAAAAAAGACACAUAUUUUCAAAUAUUCCUGGUAUAGAGCAGUGUAUCUGUGCUACAAUUAAAUAUGCCCUGGUGUGCCCUGAUAUUACUGUGCUUAAAAGGUGAGAUUUCAUGCAUCUACAUGAAGCUUCAUGUUUACAGCUUGAGAAAUUUGUGACCUAAGGUCUAAUUUCUGUGAGCUGUCGCUUCUGGUCCCCAUAUUCUCCCCGGAGCUGUCUUGGGACUGUGCAUACACCUAAAGGUCUGUCCGUAUGGCAUCACACUGAAAUCAAAGGGAAUUUAUGGAGACCUGAUGGUCAAAUCAAAAGGACUCCUGCAGAUCAGUGUUAACCACAGUAUGUGUCAGACUUACUUAAAGUGUUCAGUACCACAGUGGUGCCAUAUUUUGGAUUUUUCUAUGUCAUCGUAUCAUUAAUGUUCUUUUAGUGCUGCUGUUUACAACUGGACCUGGGUAAAGCAUAAAAAUAAGGAUAAGGCCAAGGAAUAUUCUUAUAUGAAAGGGAAGGAUAAAGAAUAUUUUUGCAAGGAAAGGAACUUUUCUUGUGUCAAAGAAUUGUAAUAAUGAAGGAGAAGUAUCAGUAUAAAAAAUUGUGGAUCAAGGUAAAAAGGUGGCAUAAAAGGAAUGAAGCAGAAUGACAGGGAAUAUGUUACAGGAAGCAACACAAUAAUCAGAAGAAAAUAUUACAGGAGAUUGGGAAAAGCAAUCAGCAUAAGAAGAAAUGAAAGCAAAUGUACAUAUGGAUCAAUCUGUAGAUACAGCUGGAAUUAAGGGAGGGGAGCAUUAAAAAGGAGUGAGAAGCCAGUGAAGUGGGAAGAUAUGGAAGAGUAUCGAUAUUGGGAGGAAAUAAAGGAGAAAAUAUAAGUAUAUUAUCAUCAAAGCCAAGAGAUCCAAAACAUGGACAGGUUUUACAGGAAAAGAAUUUCAAGAAGACAGAUAGGUUGGACAGGGUAGAUUUGAAAUACACAAAGUGACUCAGCAGGAAUUAAGCCAUGGAGAAGGAGUCAAAAUUACUUCGUUAAUCAGAGAAGCAAGAAAGCUUCUCAGAAAACAUACCCAGAAAAGGUGCUAAACAAAAGGGGUUUUGUAGUUAUUUGUGUUGUUCCUUGGUGGACUAGGGCUAAUGAAUUCAACUGUGCUGAACUAAACAUAUCUGGUUCAUUUGGUAGCAUUGGUUUCAGCUACUACAGAAUGGCUCAUGCCCAUAGCAUUAAAUAGCCUUUGCCUCCAAAACCAAGUGGCUGCAUGCAGCUUGUGUGUUUUGAAUGGUUCCUGACCAUGCUAACACCCAAACUGUUCUUGGGACUUAUUUGGGACGUGUUAGCUGGCGUAGCCCAAAGCUGUGCCAGGGCGGAUUUGAGCAGUUUGGUAGAACAAGCAUUCUCAUGCCUGAAAAUAUUCCAUGACCUUGAUAGAUUUUCUACUGUAGCCUUAAUGGUGGAGCCUAUACUCAUUGCCACAGGCUCAGGCAUUGCUUUACAGGUUCAUGCUCUGCUGUACUCUGACUUGAGUGUCAACGUCAGACUAGGACAGGUAGCAUCCAUUCCUGGCAGCAGUGAAACCAGGGCUGGACAGGGGCCCAGACAGUUUUCAGCUGGUCUCCCAAUCCCUAUACUUUGGCAACCAGCAACCAAGGAUGUGUUCUGGAGGUGUCAUAAAUCCCAAAGGAGAAUCCCUAGGGUGGCCUGAAGGUGACCUGAGAAGCAGUAGUUGACACCACACUACACAUAAAACCAUUUCCACUCAGUCAUCAGCUUCUUCUAGCUUCACAUCUUCAUGUUUCCACCUGAGAGUUGACCAUCCUGCUAUCCAAACAGUCUACUGUAAAUCAUGCCAUCUCCUGAAGCUUUUAUCUGUAGUUGGCAAAGACAAACACUCGAAAGUCAGGAAAUAGGAGUCACAGAUUGGAAACUUUUGCAAAACUCUCAAGCGCUGUCUGAAUAAUUGCUCAGCAAAAAUGCAAGCCAUGGACUCAUUUCAGAUUCCUCUAACCACCUCAAUUUUAAAACCACUAUUCAUUCCAAUGACAGAUGGGUAUCCCACUUACCUAAUCUAAUCUUCCAAGGCAUUUCCAUUGUGCCCUUCUCUGUGGUAUUCUGAGCAUUUUAGAGUAUGAAAUGAGUCUACUACAUAAUCUAAUUAAUAUUGAUCUUUGGUUCUGUUCUUGCUCAAGACAGGCAGGAACAAAAGGCACAUAAUUCAACUAGUUUAAUUAUUAUUAUUAAUGUUAUUACAGUGGGAAAGCACCGAUAGAGAGGAGUCCUGCAUUUUAGCCAGAGGGCAUCAAUAUCUGUGUCUCUUCCAGUCUCUCUAAGGAGGGAGUCCCAGAGAGAGCUUUCCUCUCACGAAGUUGAACAACUCUGGAGAACUUUGCACUAGCAUAUCCAGAUUUUUUCAAAGAGCUUUUCAGCUGCAGGUAUGUAGCACAGGUGCAUAUUAAUGUUUGCACUGCUGCAACGUACAUGGUUGCAUACCCAAAAUGGAACUGUGUGAAAUUUUAAGAUCUGCCUUGCACCUGUGCACAGAUUUGUAUCAGAGCUUACAAAAUGCAUUACACUGAUAUGAAUUACUAUUGUGCAAAUGUGGUCAUAUGGAUUUUUAGAAAUAAGUCAUCUUGCAUAUAAUCUGAAAUGAGUCUAUUGGGACUGCGGAGGGUCAGGUCAGAAUCUGGAGGCACCACAAUGAUUUAUUGGUACACUUUCCCUUUCUUCACAGGUCAGCUGAAUUUUACAUUUUCCUCUCCUGAGUUUAUCUCUAAGUUGACUGGAUUGCAUCUGUCCGCUCUGGAAGUCAACAAUGCUCAGAAUGAAGUCAGCAUAUGGCAGCCAUGGACUUGGUCUUUUACCAUCCCCAGAUAAAAAAUAUUUUUCUACCAGUCUUGACUACUGGAAAACCCAGUAUCAAUGAAAAAUCCUUGAUGAUUCCAGAGCUAAAACCCCUCGCUGAGAACCUUAUCUGAAGGAAAGAAAAAGUAACAGCUCAAGAGGGGAAAAUGUUGAGGAGAUUUUACAUCCGGCAUGUCCUUCAUCAUUCUACAGAAAAUGACCAUCACCACCUUCCCUAAUUACAGCCUAAAUUCUUCACAAAUGUGUAAAGUGAUGUGAAGGUAGCCCAAUUUCCAUGGCAUCUGUCUUAUUGUUAGUGCAAGAAAUCUUUCUUGCAACUGCCAAUAAUAAUGGAGAAACUCAAUGGGUUACACACUGAUCAUUUAUUGAAGAAGGAAAUGAGUUGGUAUGUGAAAGAUAAAACCUUGCUGGUUAAUAUGCGUGUAUUUGAAGGAUAUAAAAGAGGCAGGGAUGAGUUUUAUUUGGGGCACUUUAUAUAGACUCUCAUACUGUACUGUAAAUGCAAAUGCUAAACACACAGUAACUGUGGAAGGAAUUUAGGGUGUAGCUGGUGGCAUCAUUCUUGGUUUGAAAUAAUAAAAAUUAUUCUGACCAACUGAUCCAAUGUUGCUGUGACAAGCUAAAAUUGAUGUCAUCUUUUAAAUUUGAGAGAGAUUUUUAAACAACAUGUAAUCAAAUGUAUUAUCUAGAUCUACUUUUUUAGCAUAGUUGCAUGUAUAAAUUUGAGGCAUCAGAUAUGACUAAUUUUGAUCUGCAUAGCCAUCAUCCCACAUCUCUUCAGACCUAACCACUUAGAUGGUUGUCUUUUGUGCAUCCUACCUCAUAUAUGUCAUUUUUGUGAUGAGGAACUGAGGAGAUACUCAGCCAGAACUGGUGGAGGAUCGUGCUAGUGCCUCCCCACGAUAGUAUGUGACGCAGCUGCCGAUUCAAAACAUUGGGCAAGUUUUCUCUGCAUCACCCUCCUGCCCUUUCUUCUUCCCAAGAAGUCUUUUUCAUCGGCGCUGUUAGUCUGUCUGACCAACAAUACAGCGCUCGUUCUAGUGGGUCUAAUUUUCCUCUGAGUUAAAGCAAAUUAACUCCAGAAUAACUCCAUUAACUUCAAAGCACCGAGCAAGUGAGCAUUAAGUUAUGGAAGAUGGAAUUUCAUGUAUCGACUUUGAUAGUGUUGCUUUACCCAGAACACCCUUGUACGUGAGGAGGGAGCUGGAUCCUCAUCAUUCAUCAAUGUCUAUUAAUAACAAAUAUCUCGAGGUUUGUUUUAGUCUCAUCUUUGUCACAAGUUUGUCAAAGAGAAGAGCAAUGGGGUUUUUAAAUGUUUUUUAAAGUUGUAUCAUUUUUCAGUUUUGUUACUUUGUCAUCAUGACCUUUCUGCCCAGAAAAAGACAUAUAGUACUAGGAUAAAUUGUUCUUCUCUUUUUCUCCUAAAAGUCAAUCAGUUUGCUUCAUCAUAACACGUCAGAAUUCUCUGUCAGUCACAUCAACUCUUUCUAAAGUAACAACUGCAGCAGAAAAACAUGUAUCAAACCACCAUGCAAAUACAGUAGUAUAACCAUAGGGUUGCAUAUUAUUCUCUUACUUUGUUUUCAGAGAGUAAGAAGAGGAAAGCGAACAUUUAUGGUGAGAAAACACUGGAGUUUUUCAAAGGUUAGUUUCUGCACUGAUAUUAAUUCAGUGUGCAUGGCUCACACUUUGAAUAAAGCUUCAGAAUAUCUCACGCUAUUUACCCUUUAUAUAUGAAAAGUCAAGUGUUAUAAUUUGUAGUCAAGUGGCUACUCAGAGGAGCUCAAAGCAUCAGAGAAAAUUAUGUCAGACUGUAAAAAAGGAUUGUGUACAUUUGCACCCAAUUCAAGGCACUCAUAGUAGUUUACAAGAGUUGAAAAAAUAAUAAAAUCAGCAUUUGUCAAACACAUACGCAAUAGGAGGUUGGUAUUGGGGGAAGGUUAAUUUUUUUAAAUGCUAUGUUAGGCAAGGAUUGACUGAUGAAUUAACAUUCCUGUACUCCAGAAGUAUUUUUCUGUAACUACAUAUCCAAAUUUAUGCACCAAAUCUUUUAACGUGACAUUUGAAUGCAGAGAGCAUGUAGUUUAUGUUUCUGCCACAGAACAUAGCAGGCAGACUCAUUUAACUGUUUGUAGUCUUUAGUGCUUCAUGGUAUUCAUAUGGGUAACUCAAUGUCUUGAGUAAGCUGUAAUUUUCUUUUCCUGUGUGCACGCAUGUAUGCACAUUUUGGAUUAGCCUUUAAAAGCUUUUCCACUCUGUUUGCCCUGGUGCUUGACAUAACCAACUGUCACUGUCUUUAUACAGCAUCUCUCAUUCAGGGGUCUCAGGCAGUAUGAGUACUAAUACAAUAAAAUGUGUGAUGUUCUUCUGAAAUAUUUAUAAUCCUUGUGAAGGUGGAAAAUACAGCACACAAAGGCAAAGUAUCCUGUGGGGCACACACAGCUGGUAGCCCAAAGUCCUGGCUUCAGAAAGGAAGCCCAUAACUUGCAAAGAUGCUCCCAAAAGACUGUCCCACAACACUCCUGAGAUUUAUGUCUCAUGGGAUUUGCUAUAGUGAGAAACCCAACAAAACACUGGUACCCCCAGGAGGAUACUCUGACUUGCUGGAGGACAGAGAAGACGAGCAAUGCAGGGAGGCAGCCGCCCCCUGGCAUGCUCAGGACAGAAAGCCCUCCCAUUGCAGGAUGCUGGAGCAAGUGCCCGCUGGGCACCUCCUCUUGGACACCCCUCUCUUUGAAGCUGGGCCUCGUGUGGCAUCCAGGCAGCUGGCUUGCAUCAGCGUCUCUGGGAGGUGCACCUCCUCCCCCUCUGAAAAUACCAGGAACUGGACUGAAAGACCGCUACAGUUAUGCACAUACCCCUUGGUCAACAGGCAUGGCUCUUGACCAAUGAAACUUCUUGGCUGAGAGAAGUUUCUAGAACACUACCACAAAUCACCACAGCUCAGAUUCAACUUAUGGAUCUUUCUGGAGAACCCCAUUAAAUUGUUCUUCCUUGGAGCAGCAGGUCUGCAGUGAUAGACUCUCCUUCUUGAGACACCUUGCUGUAUUGGUCUGCACUUCUUCAGCUAACACCAGUGAGUUGUUUAUAGCUGUGGGGUCUUCAGUGCCAAACCUGUGCCCCAUCUCCUGUCAGCUGGUCCAGAGACUCCCCUUCACAGCACCUCACCUCUGCACAUCCCUGAGCCUCUGCUGCCCCAUCGGAGUGGUGUUUCUCCUACUGCAUCACUACUGGGCAGCUACAAAACUAUAGCGUCACCAUACAGCCAUAAGCAAAAUAAACCAAACUAGCCACAGGCACCUGGUCAGAAGGAAAAAACCCUGCAGUUACAGAUAAAGCAAGUUGAAGUGAAGCUGUGGGCAGGUCAAACAGCACAAGACAGACAGACGAGCUUCAGCAUUGGGCUUGGCAAACCCAGCACAAAGCCCACGGCCAGAUACUGGCAACAGCGAAGCUGUGUCGCAGGGCUGUGUGGGCAUGCAGCUUCAGUCCUGCUGUUGAAGCAGGUUGCUAGCUCGCUAUACUGAAUGCAGCAUGUGAAAAGGAAAUCUAUGGAAGAAAUUAAUUUCUGGCACAUCUUGAGAAUCAAUUUUUUUAGCACUAGAGAAGCAAGGAGGAAGUUCUCCAGUGUCAUCCUGAAGCUAGAUGGAGGUGGGUUGUUUAUAUCAAAUUUAUGGAAAGGUUUGAGGAUAGUUGUUGGAAGGAUUUUAUUUUUUAAGGAUGGGAUUUAAGACUGAAAUAUCCCCUCUAAUAUGUGUUCACUAAUCUUUCAGUGUUUUCAUGCAGAAAGCUUCUUCAAAUAUCUUUUUGCUGGAUGCACCACAGCUAUAUUUAUUUCUGUAUUCGAGCUACUGUAGAUACAGAUGAUGUUAAAAAGACAUGCUCCGUAUUUGUGUGUCUUUUCUCAGGUUUCUUUUGCUUUCACCUUCACACUUCUCCCUGGAGAAUUGGUUCAGCUAUUUAUGCUCCUCAGUUCACCAAAAAUAAAGCUGUAUUUUCACACAAACGUAAAACUCACUGAGGUAAUUAAAUACUUCACACUCUUAUUUGUGUUUGUGGUGGAGGUAAUUAUUCAUACUUCUGAAUGUAUGUCUAACAGAUGCCUUUUACAUCAACCAAAAUAUUCUUCAAAUUUUAGGACUAAACCAACAGAAGCAAUCUGAGAGAGACUCCUUUCCUAACAGGCCUGGCUUCUGCUAGUGAGUCUGACAAAUGACUUAUAUAAUAAACAGAAAGAGGAAAGAUGACCAGAGUUGCUUUAUUAGAAGAGAUUGAAUUAGCAGCAGGUCUGUCCUGCUGUAAGAGCCAAUCUGCAGGGCAGCCCCAGGCGUCGGUCUGGACGGAGGUCACAGCCUGGCUGUGCUGCAGGCAUGGAGGAGCGCACGGGAAUUUCUUGCUAUGCAAGAUGCUGAAUUAGCUGUAGAGAGACCAACAAGAGCUCAUGGGCUCCCAUGGGAACAGCUUGCACUUCAGGUCAUGGGGGUACAGAGACCGUUUCUUCCACUGCUGAGGAUGCUCACCUUGAUAAUGCAGACGUCAUUAGGUUAGCGCUACAGUGUGUUUCAAAAAGAUGGACCCAAUUUGAAAUCACUACGUCUCUGCAACCAGGAGCUGCCAAUAAGUGAAGCUCUUACCACUUGAAAGGGCAGGACAUAGAGUUUCAAAUGAUUACUGCUAGAUGACUCAUUAAACUGUUUGUAAAUUUUUGUGCAAUUGUAACUCGUUGCCAUCGUGAAAUAUACUGCUUUAAAAUUUGGUCCAUCUUUUUGAAACACCCUGUAUUAGUUGCUGACAUGGUUUGGGGUGGGGUUUUUUUGCUUCUUCUGAGGCUCAGGCAUGAGAAGGGAAGGGCUUUCCCACAUGACUGCUUCAGUGCUCACGUGGGGGCAAGACUCAGCUUCCCCUUCAGAGCAAGCCCAGUUUAAAUCCCCACCAUAAAUCACUUCAAACCCAGGCCCCCAGGGUACAUUUGAAUUCAGACUGUUUUUUUGACCAGAAAUACAGGGUGUUGUGGACCUCCCUGAAGGCAGGAGCCAUGAACUAAACCAACCUGAAGUGGUUUGGGGCCGAGGAGGUCCCCACAGUUCAGCGCCUGCUGGCAGAGCUGCUCGGCAGGUGGGACCCAGCAAUACCCCCUUUUCAAAUGGCUGCUGGGGAAAAGGUCCAGCAGUGGGUGCCCCUGGGCUGGGCAGCAGCCAUUCAGGAGCAUCAGGAUGACAUAACUGCUCUUAAGUGUUUAACUUGCAUCAUAAUCUCUUUUCAAGGCCCUGAAGUCUUUGGCAGAUGUAAUUCUGAAGUGUGGUAAUUCAGUGAAUAUGAUGCAUAAAGGCUGAUGCCUUUAAACUUGUUAAAAGUGCUAGCUUAAAGGUCUAGCAUCUUAAAUGAGGAUAUUUCAAGAAGAUUGUGAUAUCAGCGUUGUGUGGGGAAAUAUCACUUCUUGAAAAAUCGGGAAAAUAUUUUUCUAAUGUUUGACAUUUCUACAUUGAAAUAAUGGCAAAUACUUAUGUUCCCUCAUUCUUCCCAGAUCUCCUCCCCAGCUGGAAAUGUGAAUGAAAAGUAGAACUCUUUGCAUAAAAAACGAACAAACAACACCAAAAACAUUAUAAGUCCUCAAAUACAUUAUUUUCCUAUCACUAACAAGAAUAACAUGCUAAAAACUUAAAAUGGAAGUUAUUUUUUUACCAGUGGAAAGUAAGGAAAAGUCUUCUCCCUCCUCCUCUUCCUCUUUUAAUUUUGAUUUCUUCACUUACUCCAGUGACAGGGAGGGCAAGGAUUGAGAGAUAAAGAAUAAAAAUGAGAGAUUCUGUAGAAUAAAGCAAUGACUGCAAUUGUCAGAUAAUUUUGAAAUUUUGUUCAAAUCUAAUAUAUAGAGUUUAAAAUAUUUUAUUUCUUCAAACUCUUUCAUUGUUAUAGCUUCUACAAAACAAACUGUUUAACAUUUCUGUAUUUAAGCGUUCACAUCAGGAAACUUAUUUUCCUAGAAAUGACAAAAUUUUAGAGUAUCCAUAUUUACCAAUGAUGGUAACAAAUGAAACAGGUCAUAUUGUUGACACUUUCUGAAUACUAACCUGUUUGAAAACUAUCUCUAACUAAACACCUGCCACAUUGGAAUAUAUUUUUGAUGUCACAUUGACUAAACAUGGAAGCAAACGUUUAAAUAAGAGAAUGAAUGUCUGAGAAUAUGUCACAUAAGGGCGAGGCACUUAACAUGUUUUUGAUAGAAAACAGCAGAACAUUACACCAUUUCAGCAAUUAAAUAAUACAUUACUGUAGGACUGGCCCUAAAUUUUAGCAUUUGGAAAACAUUUUCUUAGACUGAAAUCAGCAAGGAAAAAUUAAUGUGAAUAUCUAGUCUCUCUAGGUUUAGAUAUUUGUCAUAUCUCUCCCAGCUAUAUAUUUUCACUUUGCCUCUCUCUUUUUAGUUCUCUCCACCAUCUUCCUGCCUCUACCCAUUAGAUAUCAGAAUAUCAGAGAUAAUUUAUGGGAAAGUUAGUUUACUGCUGGUUGGUAUUAUAGAAGACAUACUGCUAUCUUAUGGUGAGAUUUACCCAUAUGGAUGAAAAUACAGACUGAUUCAAGUAUAGCAGGUCUCGGAAACUUGUGGUUACCUGUGUUAUUUGUAUGUUUGUGAAAGAAAAAAUAGUCAAAGUAGUAGAGUCUGUGUUUUAACGUGCUUUUGCUUGUUGGAUGAUUUAAUUUUUCACAUACAUUAUUUACUCUUCUUGGGUGGAUUUUGAGAGAAACAAGCUCCCAUAAAAUGUUUAGAUGAGCAUUUUUUGACCUGUUGAGGUGAGCAUUAAGCUUCCUGCCUUCUUAAAAAUAAUUUCCAUUAUUUAUGUUACAUACAGGCAAACCACAUAGGCUUUGUUUGCCCUUUUAAUCUUUUACAGGUUAGCUGAAUAAUGAAGGAGUUCACUGAAGUGAAUACUGUAGAACAGGAAGGCCAAAAAGCCCAUCAUUAGAGCCACCAGGGUCACUUGGCUUAAUGACUAACAAAGAAUACAGUCCGAAAAAUGUUUUAUUGUACAGAGUGAUUUGGUUCUCAUGCAAAUGCAUAAUUACAAAAAUGACCCAGAUUGUUUAUCCCAGUGAGCAUCUGUUCUGUUUUUCUGGAGUUGUUUAGUCUGGCAACUUACUAUUAUAUCAAAAGCAAUUUGCAGCUGGUAUAUUGAGCUGACCGGUCUGAUAAUUAGGCUGGGCAUUCUGAAUAAAGUAUUUUAAUACCUUAUUAAAAAGUUUGUACCCCAUCCGUCUUGAAUAUUCCACCUUAAAUACUCGGUCAUACAGCUGUAUUUUUGAAAGAGAAUAAGGAAUUAAUUCAGAAAUUUAUUAAUAAAUUCUCCCUUUUUGGUUAUGUGUUAUGCACAUUUCAACUCACUUUAUUAUAUCAUAAUAUACAUCCUAAUGUCUCUCUGUAAAUAAAUAUGUAUUUACAUUGUUGCUAAGCUGUAUUGCUGCUUCUGCACUAUGAGUAUUUUCCUCCUGUCUUAGACUUUGUGACAUCAAGCUCCCUCUUAUUGAUUUCUUCACUUUGGUUUUUAUAAACGCAGUCACUUGGAAAAAGAAAACCUGGUAAAUCUGAGGAAGCUGUGAAUAUUAUUUUGACAUAUUAUCAGUACUUUUCUUCCAAGCAAAGUAAUUCUCUAUUCUUAGUGAGAUAAAUAAAACAAUAAACAAACCUGUUUACUAAAGGUACUGGCAUUUGAUACAGUCUUUGGCUUAACGACACCGAAAUAUGAUUGACUCUUACUAAAAUAAGAUCACACUUAUUUAUCCUACAUUAAACAGCAUGACCUUUUCAGUACCACUUUACAUGUCUCAGAUUUGCUAAAAAAGACUCCAUGGUAUGAU